rnacentral:rRNA from 1 species
CGUCUAUAUACGUAUAGCAUAUCAAUAAGCGGAGGAAAAGAAACUAACAAGGAUUCCCUUAGUAACGGCGAGUGAAGCGGGAAGAGCUCAAAUUUGAAAUCUUCAAGGUUUUCCCUUGACGAAUUGUAGUUUAAAGAAGUGUUUUCUGUUAGAGAGUUUGGUAAAAGUUCUUUGGAAUAGGACAUCAUAGAGGGUGAGAAUCCCGUAUUUGAUCACUUCUACUAGCUUUGUGAUACACUUUCAAAGAGUCGGAUUGUUUGGGAAUGCAGUCCAAAAUGGGUGGUAAAUUUCAUCUAAAGCUAAAUAUUGGCGAGAGACCGAUAGCGAACAAGUACCGUGAGGGAAAGAUGAAAAGAACUUUGAAAAGAGAGUUAAACAGUACGUGAAAUUGUCAAAAGGGAAGCGUUUGACACCAGUGUUGUUUUCUCGAAAAUCAAUUAAAAAUGACCGGAUUUUGUGUUGUAUUGACUUUAUCAGCUUUCUGCACUUUUUUCUUGUCUUUUUUAAUGCACUUUUCGUUUAACAAGUCAACAUCAAUUUCUUUUGUUGUAAAAGGGCCAUUGGAAGGUGGCUUUCAUUUCGGUGAAAGUGUUUAUAGCCUUUGACUUCUGCAAUCGGAGAGAUUGAGGUCUGCAGCGUAGAUCCUUCGGGGUUAGAUACAUUUGUGCUAAGUUAUAGUUUUUCAUAGACAACAUGUUGACUAUGAUUAAUCACGUAGCUUACUCGCUUAUGCUAUUUUACCUACGCUUAGGAUGUUGACACACGCGCGUGCUCG